AGCCUGGCUGAUAAGAUCCUUGCUGCUCCCGCCCCCUGCUUCCUCCCAGAGCGGCCGCUGGAAGAACCUCCACCUUAAACAGCUCUGGGGCUGGCUGGGCAGUGGCUCAGGGUGCUGGGUCAUCUUGCCCAGGGGCUGUCCCAGUGUGCCGGGAGAUCAUGCAGCUGAAACAAGAUGAACAGGCCAGGUCCUUUCUCAGGGAGCCCCCCAAGCCCCAGGAGCAGCCCUGAGCCUCCUGAGAUUCUGACACAGUCCCCCCAGUGUAGCCUGAAAAUCCAUCAAUGUGAGUGCUACAGCCACCACUUGGCAAAAAUCACAUGAACAUAUGCAGACCUGGGUAAGAUUAAUCAUUUUACAGCUCUUUCAGCACUGAGAAACUCCCCAAAACAGAUGAGACGUUCAGAUGCCAAUCCUCUCUCAAGUGAGAGAAAAGGGCAGAAUGGAGACACAUAGAGAAACCGCAUGGAGACACCAAGGUCAGUAAAGGAGUCAAAUCCCACAUGGGAGGAGAUGCCUUAAUCUUAGGCUGAAAUUCUUUUGGUAAGGCCACGGUUACGGACUGUGAUACACUAGAAUAUCCUUUUAAUUCAUGAAAAAGCAUGGGGAGAUGGAGCGUUCAAACUGUGGACAUGAGCAAAAGCAUCCAUACUGAGGCAAGCAGAUGUUGAAGUAGUUGUGAUCCAAAUGAGAAGCUUGAAUAGAGCGAGAUAAGAGUGAUGAAGACCCUCUGUCCCCAGGCGAAGAAGAAGAAGACCCCAGUUCCCAACCUUUGCUUUUGAAUAGCUCAUCCUUAAAAUAGUACCCCAUAAGUUUAACAUGGCCCAUGAAAUCAGCUGUGGGAAGGCUGGAAAAGAUAGGAGGAACUUCACAAUUGCAGAUUUCCGGGUGGCCACUAUUUGUGGAAAUUAAAAGCCGUGAGAGAACUGCUUCUUGUGGAGAGGUCUCCAUGGCAUGGCAAGAGAGACUCCUCUCCCUACAAGAACUGAUUAAAGACUAUUUUAGAGGUGGUAAACUGACAGAAAAUCCCAGGUUUUGUCUCUACAUUGUCAGUGGGAAAGAUGGCGUGAGGUUCUCAAGAAACAAGAUUAAACCACUUAAUAUUCUAGUAGAGGAAGACAGUCAAAGAGAAGGCCAAGGUCUCAGCAGAGUAUUCUGAGGAUGGAGAUGAAUGAAAGCACAUGCUUCCAAUUACAAAUGCAGAAACAAUUUCUUCUCAGAAGUCAGUAACAGAAGAAAGAAGCUUGAAGCCAGGAAUAUGCUAAUUGAGGCACACAGAUAUUAAUCAAGAGAGUUAAGAAGAAGAGAGAAAGGAAAGGCAUUGGUUUCCUGCACUGGAAGAUGAUAUCCUGGUGCUAAUUCACAGGAAAUUACAGGAAAUAAACAAGAAAGAGAAAUGCAGAUAAUAUCGUCUGGGGCUGAAGAAGAAAAGACUUGCCCCAAACCUUAACAUGAAUGACUUCAAUAAAUGCCUUCCAAAACAGAAGUCAGACAACCACAGUUUCAAGAGCUCCCAAAGAUAUACCAUCUCUAAAUUAUUUUUUGGCCUGCUAGUCAUGUUGGAAAGGUUGGCAUAGAUACAGAAACUGCUAGGGAGAAUCUUAUUGUUAAAUACAUUUAAAUAAUUUAUAUAUAAUCUUUUUAAUGAAUUUGAUUAAUUUUUCUACAUCUAAAUCUAUUUCAUUUUAAAUCCUGUUAUGUGCAGCAUGACUGAAUAAACAAGGGAUUCUUUCAUACUGAGUAGAUAAUUUUGGAAAACAUUCUGCAUCACCUUCUUCUGUUUCUCCCCAUGUACCAAGCUUUAAUAUUUCCUAUCUCCCAACUGCACAGUCAGGCUCUGUACAGGUCUAACCACUUCAGGGGCUGAAGGAUCAGCAAGGAAAGCUAUUGCUUGUAACAAAGCAUGCCAGGGGAGAUGGAGACUUCCUAGAUUUCAUUCUGCAAAAGUUUGUUGUAGAAAGUAGUACCUCUGAGAAAAACUGAGGGAAGAAGUGUCCCUUCACUGCCCCAUAAAAGCACCUAAUAUAUAAAUAUUCAAAGUGUUUAAUAAAUAAAAUGCUGCAGAUCUGCUGUCUUUUUCUACAGACAGCUGUGGCAGUGUGGCAGAAACCACAUUAGAACUGACACUGAGCAGCACCAAGAUUUCCAGUUUUGCCAGCAGAACUUCCUCAACUUUCUAAACUUCCAGGUGCAAAGCAGCUAAUAAAAUGCUUGUCUGGUCUUGAGAUCUUUACACAUCAUUAAUCCCUACUCACACAAGAGUUUUAGCUCAUAUCUCUCGUUUCUGAACAAAGAGUAGUUCUGGAAAAGUAAACAAAGAGAGCAGAGAAGCUGAGAUCAUAGUUGGGCCAAUUAAUGUGAAAUUUUAAUUUCCAUCAAAGUGCCAAUCACGUGUUGCUACCAAUUGGAACCUCAUUCUCCUAUUUGUGUAUUUUUCUUCCUUCUCUCCUGCCUUAGUCUUUGUUAUGUGCAAUCCACAAAGCUUUCUCCAAAUUUCACAGCCAUAAUGCAUUUCUUAAUUGGACUUCAUCCUAAAAAAUUAUAUUCUUUUGUGAUAUUUAGAAAUACAAUGCUAAAAUGUUUGUGAUGAAGCCAAAUACUUUACUCACAGUGUUGCAGGAUGGAUUCAGGGUCUGAACAUUUCGCUUGAAAUGGCUUACAGAGUCUCUCCAGUCCACAGCCCAGAAUCCUUCCCUGGACAUCUCCUAGGAUAUCAGGAGCAGAAAAGGCUUUCCUUUUCAAGUUUAACAGUUAUCCUUUUUGGGGGCAGGCUUAAUAACAGUGGUUUUAUACAUAGACUUAGAAAAGGGUAGUUUUUUCAUAGCAUUUUCCAGGGAAAGGAUGUAAAUGACUAAACAAACACUGAAGAAUGUAUUCAGCUAUGUAAGCUCUGGACCUUAACCAGAGAUUAAAUGAAACUGAGGUUUAUUGAAAAAUAAAGUAUUUGUGUGCAUUUUCUGAGUCUUUAUCAAAUCUCAGUGUACAUGGGAAGUUUAAGUGUCAGAAUCUUAGUGAAAAUAUCAAGAAUUUUUCAGUCUUAGCAUUUUGAAUUCAGAUUUAAGCCACAGGAAUCUCAGUUUAUGGGAAGGAUUGAGAAAUGGCAUAAUUAAAAUCUAAUUAGCUUCACAAAGGAGGCUGCUAUGUAUGAACAAAAGAGACUCCUUGAUGUCAGGGACAAUAAAAUACAGAUUAGUUUGGAAAGUUUAGGUAUUUUCUUUAGCUAUUUUGAAUUAUAAAUAUCCUACAUAUGAAAGAUAAACAUUAAUUUGUAGAAAACAGUUUCAGCAGAGGGUGAAUAACAGUGCAAUUAUGGAGCUGCAGAAAUCUAAAUUCUCUUCAUCUAUUGCUCUAGAAGGUAUGCACUAUAAAAUUGUACCAGUUAUGUUUAAUAGAAUCCCAAAGCUAUUGCUAUCAGAGGGCAACUUAGUCUUUUCCAAAGCAGCCUAUUAUAAGUGAAAUUACUAGAAGAGUGGAAAAAAAUUAUAUGCUUGCUUUGUGGGAGAGGGUGUUAUGGUCUCUGUGUGUCUUUUGUUUGGGGCUUUGAAAAGGAGUGUUGCAUGAAAGUCAGGAUAAUUAAAUUGAUCCAAUAAAAGGUAAAGUUUUUUGGACAGAUUUUGAUUCAUUAAGAAUGUUUUCAUUCUGUGUUUGUUCAUAAGUCCAACAUUCGCAAUAGCCUCAAGCCAGAAAUGUUCACUUUUUCAUUUUCUGUAGUAUCUCAUGAUCAGGAAGGCAGAGCUCCUCCAUAGGUAAAGAUGAUAAUGCUGGAGAUAUUAUCCUGUGAAGGAGA